rnacentral:rRNA from 1 species
UUGACCUCGGAUCAGGUACGCUCCAAUCCUCC